GUUUGAUCCUGGCUCAGAACGAACGCUGGCGGCAGGCUUAACACAUGCAAGUCGAACGAUCUCUUCGGAGAUAGUGGCAGACGGGUGAGUAACACGUGGGAAUCUACCCAACUCUACGGAAUAACAGUUAGAAAUGACUGCUAAUACCGUAUACGCCCUCCGGGGGAAAGAUUUAUCGGAGUUGGAUGAGCCCGCGUUGGAUUAGCUAGUUGGUGAGGUAAUGGCUCACCAAGGCGACGAUCUAUAGCUGGUCUGAGAGGAUGAUCAGCCACACUGGGACUGAGACACGGCCCAGACUCCUACGGGAGGCAGCAGUGGGGAAUAUUGGACAAUGGGCGCAAGCCUGAUCCAGCCAUGCCGCGUGUGUGAUGAAGGCCCUAGGGUUGUAAAGCACUUUCAACGGUGAAGAUAAUGACGGUAACCGUAGAAGAAGCCCCGGCUAACUUCGUGCCAGCAGCCGCGGUAAUACGAAGGGGGCUAGCGUUGUUCGGAAUUACUGGGCGUAAAGAGUACGUAGGCGGAUUAGAAAGUUAGGGGUGAAAUCCCGAGGCUCAACCUCGGAACUGCCUCUAAAACUCCUAAUCUUGAGUUCGAGAGAGGUGAGUGGAAUUCCGAGUGUAGAGGUGAAAUUCGUAGAUAUUCGGAGGAACACCAGUGGCGAAGGCGGCUCACUGGCUCGAUACUGACGCUGAGGUACGAAAGCGU
rnacentral:rRNA from 1 species